AUGUACUCGACGCCCAACGGGGUGCAAGAACAGGCCGAGGAGGGAGAGGCGAGCGGAGGUGAGAGUGAGGAGUGGCAAUCUGAUGGUGAGGGGGAAGAGGAUGACAACGGAUCCAGCGAAGAGGAGGAGGAGGAGGAAGUCGAUCCUCCUCGUACGGAAAGGCGAUCCAAGCUCAUCCACGACCCCGCGAGCGAGCGUGGCAAAGCGAUUGCGCCCGUUAGGCAAUCGUCGAAGCACCCUCGGACGGCUUCUCCGGCGCCGACUGAGAAAGCACCAAAGCAGCCGAAGCCGUCAAAGCCGCCGAAGGCCUUGCCCAAGAUGAGAAUGGCCAUUUCCACUAUCUCCGGGUAA
rnacentral:rRNA from 1 species